CCGCAUGGGAAUUACGUCAAAGGUAUAAACUGGUAUGGGAUGGGGAUGCGUCCGAUUAGCUAGACGGCGGGUAACGGCCCACCGUGGCGAUGAUCGGUAGGGGUUCUGAGAGGAAGGUCCCCCACAUUGGAACUGAGACACGGUCCAAACUCCUACGGGAGGCAGCAGUGAGGAAUAUUGGUCAAUGGCCGUAAGGCUGAACCAGCCAAGUAGCGUGAGGGAUGACCGCCCUAUGGGUCGUAAACCUCUUUUGCACGGGAAUAACCCGCACUACGUGUAGUGCGUUGCAUGUACCGUGCGAAUAAGCAUCGGCUAACUCCGUGCC
rnacentral:rRNA from 1 species